GCCGCUCACGCCCGGUCG
rnacentral:snRNA from 1 species